CCGAGACGCUCGGUCGACUCGCCUCCGGCCGCCGGAGUCCGAUCAACGAUCUGGACACACCAUCGGACUCACAACGACGCGCUGAUGACGAUCCCUGCUUCCGAUUUUUCGAUCUGACACCCGAUCAUCCAGAGAAAUUGGUGGACGAUCUCGACCGUCGAUUCGCAAACGAAGCCCGAUCGCCACGAAACCAGUGCCAUCGCGAAGCUUGAGCUGAGGAGAGUCGGGAUACAUCCUCCGAUCAUCCAUCCUCCGCCGGAGC
rnacentral:lncRNA from 1 species